GUGCCAAACGCGCAUUUUGUCUACAAAAGACUCAUCAGUGACAGUGACGCUCAAAUCUAAAAAAAUUUAAAAAGGCCAAAGAAAAUACGAAAUUGAAGAGCAUACAUGAAGUUUAAAUUUGAAUCACAAUUACAUCAUGAUUUGAUUAAGAGUAAGCUGAUUAUGCCACAAUAGAUACUAAACUAUGUUUGAUUAAAAGAGUUCCUUGUUUUAUAAAAGGUUCACGUCACCCUUUUUCAUUUCAUUUUGAAUAAAAGAUGAUGUCUGCAUAAUGUUUCAUUGUCCCUGAAAUCUUUACAAAUCCUAAGGUCAAAAUAUAAUUCUAUAAAACAGCUGGUCUAAUCUCUAACCCAAUGAAUACCCAUAUCAGACUAGAAUAGUGAAACAACACAAGGAUGAAUAGGAUUAAGAGGAGGUAUACUUUAUUAAUACAGCAACCCAACAACAAAAAAACAAUCAUUAUGAUUAAAAGAGAAGUAAGUUCAGGAACAAACCAGCACAAACAACAAGAACUGUAUAGAUACCACACUAAGCAUUAUUUAUUUCAGAUCUAAGAAUUGAUCAAAGGGAGAUAACUGGAUGUUGAAAUAUCGAGAAAAGCUGAACAGUCAGUUGUUGUUUGAUUGCUGUGUAAUAAAUACAAAAUAAUAAAUUAAAUAACAAAAUAAAAUAAGAUCUUCUAGAUUGAAAAAUGUUUUCUUGAUUUCCAUAUUUAAAAUGAAAGAAGAUUUGACAGCAUUCCAAACUCACAAAUCAACAAAAAAUAUGUCUGUAUAAAGAGUAAUUAAUUAAAAGGGGGCUUAAAUCAUAAAAUUUAAUAAAAACUCAAAUUACAAAAAUACUUAAAAUAUGUAAAUAUUAGUAGAGAGUAAUUUAAAAUUUAUCUACAAUGAUAUUUCAUAUACUGUAAAUUCAGAAAUUAUUGCAAAUCAUAUGACUGUGUGAGUAUUGGUAUAAUAA
rnacentral:lncRNA from 1 species